rnacentral:rRNA from 1 species
GACGAACGCUGGCGGCGUGCUUAACACAUGCAAGUCGAACGAAGAGCGAUGGAAGCUUGCUUCUAUCAAUCUUAGUGGCGAACGGGUGAGUAACGCGUAAUCAACCUGCCCUUCAGAGGGGGACAACAGUUGGAAACGACUGCUAAUACCGCAUACGAUCUAAUCUCGGCAUCGAGGAUAGAUGAAAGGUGGCCUCUACAUGUAAGCUAUCACUGAAGGAGGGGAUUGCGUCUGAUUAGCUAGUUGGAGGGGUAACGGCCCACCAAGGCGAUGAUCAGUAGCCGGUCUGAGAGGAUGAACGGCCACAGUGGGACUGAGACACGGCCCAGACUCCUACGGGAGGCAGCAGUGGGGAAUCUUCCGCAAUGGACGAAAGUCUGACGGAGCAACGCCGCGUGAGUGAUGACGGCCGUCGGGUUGUAAAGCUCUGUUAAUCGGGACGAAAGGCCUUCUUGCGAAUAGUGAGAAGGAUUGACGGUACCGGAAUAGAAAGCCACGGCUAACUACGUG